UCCCUUAGAUGUUCUGGGCCGCACGCGCGCUACACUGAUGAAUUCAACGAGCUCCUAACCUAGGCCGAAGGGUCCGGGUAAUCUUUGAAAUUUCAUCGUGAUGGGGAUAGAUUAUUGCAAUUAUUAAUCUUCAACGAGGAAUUCCUAGUAAGCGCGAGUCAUCAGCUCGCGUUGAUUACGUCCCUGCCCUUUGUACACACCGCCCGUCGCUGCCCGGGACUGAGCCGUUUCGAGAAAAGCGGGGACUGCUGCUGUCGGGGCUUUCGGGCCUUGGCUUCGGUGGAAACCGCUUUAAUCGCAGUGGCUUGAACCGGGCAAAAGUCGUANCA
rnacentral:rRNA from 1 species